AAAGUCUGACAGAUAAUCGCUGCCUGAUUUCAGGGAGAGGAAAGUCCGGGCUUCAUAGGGCAGGAUGCCGGUUAACGGCCGGUCGAGGUGACUCGAAGGAAAGUGCAACAGAAAUUAUACAGCCUAUGUGCUUUGCGCAGGCAAUGGUGAAAUGGUAGAGUAAGAGCCUACCGCCGAUGUGGUAACAUGUCGGGUCAAUGUAAACCCCAUCCGAAGCAAGACCAAACAGAAGACGAUACGGCGGCCCGUCGUGUUUUCGGGUAGGUUGCUUGAGCUUGCUGGUAACAGUAAGUCUAGAUAGAUGAUUAUCUGAUACAGAACCCGGCUUAUAGUCAGACUUUAUCU
rnacentral:RNase_P_RNA from 1 species